GUCUAUAUCCAUGCCUCCCUGAACAAGCCCGAUGUCCGAUCUCGCAAGCUAAGCAGGGUCGGGCCUGGGUAGUAGUUGGAUGAGAGACCACCUUGGAAGACCAGGUACUGCAGGUA
ensembl:rRNA 5S_rRNA 5S ribosomal RNA